rnacentral:rRNA from 1 species
UUUGUCUUUUAAAUGAAGACUAGAACAAAAGAUUUAACAUUUCAACUUAUUUAUUUAACUUAACUUUUAAAAUUAUAUUAGAUGUAAAAAUACAUCUAUUUAACAGAAAGACGACAAGACCCUAUUGAACUUUACUUUAGUUAAACUGGGGCAGUCAAUUAAUUAUCAUUUUAAUAAAAAUUUUUCUUUAUAAAUCCAAUAAUAUUGAUAAUCCAGUUACCAUAGGGAUAACAGCGCAAUUAUAUUUUAAAGAUCUUAUUUAAAAAAUAGAUUACGACCUCGAUGUUGAAUUAAUUACCUAAUUAAGGCAAAUCUUAAAACAGGAAGUCUGUUCGACUUUUUAAUAAUUACAUGAUUUGAGUUCAGACCGGUGUAAGCCAGGUCGGUUUCUAUCUUCUUAAAACUUUCUUACAGUACGAAAGGACCCAAGAAACUAAUUUGAUUGUAAAAUUGGCAGAAUAAUGCAUUAGAAUUAGAAUCUAAUAAAACU